ensembl:miRNA
CUUUUGUUUCUUUGUUAUGUUUCUGUCUGGUGUUCCUGUCUAGUGGUGAGAGUGGGGUGUUGAAAUCUCCCACUAUAAGUGUGUGCAUUUAGAUGUGUGAUUUGAGUUUUAGUAA